UACAGAGGGUGCGAGCGUUGUCCGGAAUCACUGGGCGUAAAGCGAACGUAGGCGGUGUUCCAUGUCAGAGGUGAAAGCCUGGGGCUCAACUCCAGAAUUGCCUUUGAAACGGGAACGCUUGAGUCCGAGAGAGGAUGGCGGAAUUCCUAGUGUAGAGGUGAAAUUCGUAGAUAUUAGGAAGAACACCAGUGGCGAAGGCGGCCAUCUGGCUCGGUACUGACGCUCAGGUUCGAAAGCGUGGGGAGCAAACAGG
rnacentral:rRNA from 1 species